GGGAAUAUUGCGCAAUGGAGGAAACUCUGACGCAGUGACGCCGCGUAUAGGAAGAAGGUUUUCGGAUUGUAAACUAUUGUCGUGAGGGAAGAAAUUGACAGUACCUCAGGAGGAAGCUCCGGCUAACUAUGUGCCAGCAGCCGCGGUAAUACAUAGGGAGCAAGCGUUAUCCGGAUUUAUUGGGUGUAAAGGGUGCGUAGACGGGAAAUUAAGUUAGUUGUGAAAUCCCUCGGCUUAACUGAGGAACUGCAACUAAAACUGAUUUUCUUGAGUACUGGAGAGGAAAGUGGAAUUCCUAGUGUAGCGGUGGAAUGCGUAGAUAUAUGGAGGAACACCGGUGGCGAAAGCGGCUCUCUGGUCUGUAACUGACGCUGAGGCUCGAAAGCGUGGGUAGCGAACAGG
rnacentral:rRNA from 1 species